rnacentral:rRNA from 1 species
UACGUAGGGCGCAAGCGUUGUCCGGAAUUAUUGGGCGUAAAGAGCGCGUAGGCGGCGCGGUACGACCGCUGUGAAAGCCCCCAGCUCAACUGGGGAGGGUCAGCGGUAACGGCCGUGCUAUGAGUGCAGGAGAGGGAAGUGGAACUCCGGGAGUAGCGGUGAAAUGCGUAGAGACCCGGAGGAACACCAGUGGCGAAGGCGGCUUCCUGGUCUGCGACUGACGCUGUGGCGCGAAAGCUAGGGGAGCAAACGGG